UGUAGGAAUACCAAAGGAAGUUACACUUGCACCUGUAGAACAGGAUAUCAGGGAAAGAACUGUGAACAAGAUGUGAAUGAAUGUCUGAAAAACCCCUGCAGAAAUGGCGGUUCCUGUAGGAAUACCAAAGGAGGCUACACGUGCUCCUGUAGAACAGGAUAUCAGGGGAAGAACUGUGAACAAGUUUCAGGAUGUAGCGGAUAUACCGUACUCAACCAAGCUGACCGAGCAAAAGGAUUUU